UCGAGAAUCUUCCGCAAUGGACGCAAGUCUGACGGAGCGACGCCGCGUGCGGGAUGAAGGCCUUCGGGUUGUAAACCGCUGUCAGAGAGGCGGAAAUGCAUGGUGGUUAUCCUCCAUGUUUGACCUAAUCUCAGAGGAAGGCCGGGCUAAGUUCGUGCCAGCAGCCGCGGUAACACGAACCGGUCGAACGUUAUUCGGAAUCACUGGGCUUAAAGAGUGCGUAGGCGGCGUGGCAAGUUGGGUGUGAAAUCCCUCGGCUCAACCGAGGAAUUGCGCUCAAAACUGCCAUGCUUGAGGGAGACAGAGGUGAGCGGAACUGAUGGUGGAGCGGUGAAAUGCGUUGAUAUCAUCAGGAACACCGGUGGCGAAGGCGGCUCACUGGGUCUCUUCUGACGCUGAGGCACGAAAGCUAGGGGAGCGAACGGGAUUAGAUACCCCCGUAGUCC
rnacentral:rRNA from 1 species